ensembl:snRNA U6 U6 spliceosomal RNA
GUACUUAUUUCAACAGCACAUAUUUUAAAUUGGAUCAAUACAGAGCAGAUAAGCAUGGUUACUGCCUAGGGAUGGCACACAAAUUCAGAAAGCAUUCCAUAUUUUG